rnacentral:rRNA from 1 species
UACGUAGGGUGCAAGCGUUAAUCGGAAUUACUGGGCGUAAAGCGUGCGCAGGCGGUUUUGUAAGUUUGUCGUGAAAGCCCCGGGCUCAACCUGGGAAUGGCGAUGAAGACUGCAAGGCUUGAAUCUGGCAGAGGGGGGUAGAAUUCCACGUGUAGCAGUGAAAUGCGUAGAGAUGAGGAGGAACACCGAUGGCGAAGGCAGCCCCCUGGGUCAAGAUUGACGCUCAUGCACGAAAGCGUGGGGAGCAAACAGG